rnacentral:rRNA from 1 species
CCUACGGGUGGCAGCAGUGGGGAAUAUUGUGCAAUGGGCGAAAGCCUGACGCAGCGACGCCGCGUGAGGGAUGAAGGUCUUCGGAUCGUAAACCUCUGUCAGCAGGGAAGAACGGUCACUGUGCUAAUCAGCAGUGAAUUGACGGUACCUGCAAGGGAAGCACCGGCUAACUCCGUGCCAGCAGCCGCGGUAAUACGGAGGGUGCGAGCGUUAAUCGGAUUUACUGGGCGUAAAGCGCUCGUAGGCGGUAUGUCAAGUCAAGGGUGAAAUCCCCGCGCUAAACGUGGGAACUGCCUUUGAAACGGGCAAACUGGAGUGUGUGAGAGGAUAGUGGAAUUCCAGGUGUAGGGGUGAAAUGCGCAGAUAUCUGGAGGAACAUCAGUGGCGAAGGCGACUAUCUGGCACAUAACUGACGCUGAGGAGCGAAAGCGUGGGUAGCAAACAGGAUUAGAUACCCUUGUAGUC